ACUUUGUUAAAACCUGCCUACCGAUGUCUUCACACCUCCAUCUGGUACCCAGGCCUUGGGAAUAUACUAUCUUUUAGUAACCUUUCGGAGAACAAGAAACGGAAGUCUUUCUGGGUGGAAGGCAUGUUCUUCAUGUGAUCCAUCACUCCUUGCGGUGCGUCCACCACGUUUCCCACAAGCCACAGUCCCUGGAUGAUCCUAGCAUCAAAACCUCUCAUAGAGCUGUUAAGACUGGUCAAGACCUGAAAAGAAUAAAGAGUGACACAGAGAAGAGUGUGCCAUGGAGAGACAGGCCUCCAGCAGAGGGUGUGGCCUAUCAUGCCUGGAUCUUGGACUUGCUUUGUCCCAGACUGACCUUGAACUCUAGAUCUCCUUGCCCCAGUCUCCUGGGAUUAAAGUAAACUUAUUCUUUUGGUCCUUUGGACACUGACUGGUGAGUCCACAGUGGGUGGAAUGAAGGCAGAAGACUGAGAAGACAAACGUUGGCACCAGUGCCUGGAAAAUGAUUCCCUGCAGGUGGAAAAAUCUUUCCGCCAUUCCUCCGAGGCGAGACUGAAAGCAAAGAAAUCAUGCAGAAAUGCUCACGGAAAAUCCGAGCAAGAAUAUUUUUAGCUGCCUGACCUUUUGGUGAGAGUAUUAUCUCCUUGAAAAGGAAAAAUUAUCAAAAGAAUGCUCUCUCUUCACAGAGGCAGGAGGUGGGGACAAGCCAGAGGUCGAACCACUCCAGCCUGUGCUUCACUUUGUGGGGUCAGGGUGACAGUGCCUUGUCUUUCUGCCUGAGUGAGACUCGGGCUUUGUUCUUGUGUAACCAUGUCCCCACUCGGCAGAGUGUGUGUGCAUGCAAAUUCUGGAUUCCCAUGAUAUCUUCCUCCCCUUUCUUUCUCCCUUCUCCCUUCUCUCCCUGUCUCUCUCCCCAGGCCUCCGUUCCUGUUCCCUUUUGUGCCUCUUUGUCUUCCUCUCUAGCCUGGCUCUGUUGGACUUGGGUGGUUUGCUUUGCCAUGAUACUUUCUGAAUUGUCUGCAUACUGUGUUCUGCUAAGUUCAUUGAUAGUAAGUUUGUUUUCAAAAUUCUCUGCUGUCUCCCACAUCAAGUCAAUUCCCAAUAACAUUAUGGGGUGGACGAGGCUUGGCUCUGCUUUGCAGUCUCUCUACAUUCAUUGUUUGUUUGCUUGCUUUUGUAGACUUCUCAGUUCUAGCUCUUCUCCCCUGCAUCCUAAAAUCCCAAGAACUAAAAGGUUCCAUGACCCGCGGGUUCAUCAUAUUGUCAAAACGUAGUUCUUGUGGCUUUGCUCUCUUCAUUUUCCGAAAUGACCAUUUUCCAGGGACCUUUCCUGGCUCUCGUUUCUUGGCGUGGCGGCUACUGGCUCUUUUCUUAGGAAGGAGCAGAGGUGAAGCCAGUUCACGAAUGACCUCGAUAGCUGAUUCCACUUUCUUAUUCCUCUGCAAACCUGAGGAAUGAGGAAUUCCCUGCAAGUCUGAGGAAUGAUCAGCAAAUGAAGGUUGAAUAUACUUAGCACGAAGUUAUAAAUACAAACGUACCGUGAAGUAAUGGUUUCACCUAUCUGCCAUUCAUUUCCUCCCAUUUUGAUUUUAAAGUCACAGUUAUAAUAAAGAGUCAAUAGCU
rnacentral:lncRNA from 1 species